rnacentral:rRNA from 1 species
AUGGCUGGCGUCUCCACCAACGACAUUGCCAUUGUGCUUGUGGCACUUCUCUCCGUGCUCGUCACGUCCGUCUGUUCUGCGGCCAACUACGACACCUCCGCCGCCAGAUCCUACAACUCCGGCUGGCUGCCCGCCAAGGCCACCUGGUACGGAGCGCCCACCGGCGCCGGACCCAACGACAACGGCGGUGCUUGCGGCUUCAAGAACGUCAACCAGUACCCUUUCUCCUCCAUGACGUCCUGNGGCAACGAGCCUCUGUUCGACGGUGGCGCAGGCUGCGGCAGCUGCUAUGAGAUCCGAUGUGUCGCCGCCAACAACCCUUCCUGCUCCGGCCAGCCGAGGAGGGUGGUCAUCACCGACAUGAACUACUACCCCGUGGCCAGGUACCACUUCGACCUCAGCGGCACGGCGUUCGGGGCCAUGGCCAAGAACGGCCUCAACGACAAGCUCCGC